AUCUUUUUAGUACAGCUAGUAUAUUUGACUUCCAAUCAAAAAGCCUUGGUUAAAGCCCAAGAAUAGAUA
rnacentral:tRNA from 3 species